UCGAACGAGAACCCACACACUCUGGUGAGAGACGAGAAACCAUAUCUUCAAACUGGAGGCAAUAGCUGAGAGGAUUGUGGUCUUUCUUCAAUUUUAAUUGAAUUGUGUGGUGAUUCCGACAGUUUUAAUGCCGACAUUAAUGAUUCAGAUUCCAGUUCAAACCAGGAGAUGGAAGAGUCUACGAAUAUUAAUACCAGUAUAUACGAGAUGUCCUGGUCCUGGAGGUGGAAGGAUCUGCUCACAGUGGAGGCAGCUCCUGUCAGUAAACUUUACCAAAUUGUGGGUACAGCUCCAACAGGUAUCCUCAUGAAACCAACUUGAGAAAUUGAUAGGAAGAAACAGAAAACUGAUUCCAGACAUCCCUUAUUUGACCACAAGCAUCGGCGACCAGGACCCAGAAUUGCGAAAGCGCUUCAUGCAGAUAACUACAGCAAUGCCUUCAUUUCUUGGUGCUCGCCUAGUGGAACUUUUGACAAGAUCUUUCGCCCAAAGCACACGAAACAAAUGUCAAAGGAGAACCAGUGGCUGGUUCAGACCUACCUUAUGUGAUAAGAAAAAAUGCUAAAGAGAUUGAUAACUGGGGUUUCACAAUGCAAAGUCAACUUCACAAAAUAGUGUGUCAGCAGUGAUGAUGAAAUUUGCCAUUGUGGUGUAGGACUGUGUUCCAACUUGUGGUACUCCAAUGCCAGAAGAACGCAUUGUUCAAAUGAGUACAUGAUUUCUGGUCCUUCCGUCAGUAUGCUAACUUAUUUCUGGUGCCACCAGUUAGCAGCUUUUCGAAGUAUUUCAAAACUUCUGCUCUUGUCUGUCGAUCUUAGUUUUCAAGAAAUCAGCGACUCUUCUGCUGAACACAGAAAGGAAUUUUCUGGGAGUGUUUUCAAUAGCAGGAGAUGUUUUGAUGGACUAUAAGCACCUAACUAGCAGUGAUUAGAUGGAACAAGCAUGUCUUUCAUCAAGCAAAGUAGCAGAUAAUCUGGAAUGGCAAUCUGGAGGGAAGGAGAAGGAGAAGUAAGAGGUCAGUACUUGAGGACUGUGGCGCCUAUGAAAUCAGAUAUCCUGAUCCUGGAAGUGGAAGGAUCUGCUCACAGUGGAGGCAGCUCCUGUCAGUAAACUUUACGGAACUGUGGGUACAGCUCCAACAUGUAUCCUCGUGAAACCAACUUGAGAAAUUGAUAGGAAGAAACAGAAAACUGAUUCCAGACAUCCCUUAUUUGACCACGAGCAUCGGCGACCAGGACCCAGAAUUGUGAAAGCGCUUCAUGCAGAUAACUACAGCAAUGCCUUCAUUUCUUGGUGCUCGCCUAGUGGAACUUUGACAAGAUCUUUUGCCCAAAGCACACGAAACAAAUGUCAGAGGAGAACCAGUGGCAUGUUCAGACCUACCUUAUGUGAUAAGAAAAAAUGCCAAACAGAUUGAUCACUGGGGUUUCACAAUGCAAAGUCAACUUCACAAAAUAGUGCUUCAGCAGUGAUCAUGAAAUUUGCCAUUGUGGUGGCCUGCAGGAGCAUCAUCUAUUAGUCUGUUAACAGGAACCUACUGUGCACACUACUAAGAGUGAUCUUGCUGCAGCUAAGGAAGCAGCCAAAAUUGUCAAAUAGUGGGCUCUCCACAGAAUUUGAAGAGAAUUAGCUUGCUGUUUUUUUAAAUCUUCCUGUCUGUAUUUUAUCAAUUCUUGUUGUACAUAUUUUUCUCUGUAUUUUUACUGUUAUUAAUUUCUAUCUGUAUGUUACUGAAUUUCCUCUGUAACUGAUUUUUUAUAUGUACAGGGUGUUUCAAAAAUGACCAGUAUAUUUGAAACGGCAAUAAAAACUAAACGAGCAGCGAUAGAAAUACACCGUUUGUUGCAAUAUGCUUGGGACAACAGUACAUUUU